rnacentral:rRNA from 1 species
UACGAAGGGGGCUAGCGUUGUUCGGAUUUACUGGGCGUAAAGCGCACGUAGGCGGAUCGUUAAGUCGGGGGGUGAAAUCCUGGAGCUCAACUCCAGAACUGCCUUCGAUACUGGCGAUCUUGAGUCCGGAAGAGGUGAGUGGAACUCCUAGUGUAGAGGUGGAAUUCGUAGAUAUUAGGAAGAACACCAGUGGCGAAGGCGGCU